GCCCGGAGGGAGCGCUCCCCGACCCCGCGCGCGGCCCUCCCCGUGCGCGCUCCGGCUCCCCGCGCUUGCCUGGCGAGGCCCGGUCCCCGGGCCCUAUUCGGCCAAAACAGCCGCGGCUGCCCCGCGCUGGGGACCCGCGCGCGACCGCCGCUGUGCCGUGCCAGAAAGGGCUCGCCUGCCCCCCGGGACCGCGGAGGGGGGGCAGGCAGAAAGGAGCUCCUAUUCGCUUCUCAUUUACCCAGCGACAAAGUCUGACGUCGCCGCAUCAGGUCCCCAUCCUAAGCAGUUCUCUCCCAGAGGUUUGAUAUCCUGUCUUAGCUGGGGCUGGGCAGGUUCAUGGUGUGAUCCAAAGCUGAGCGUCACCGACACAGAGUGCUAGUUUAUAGCAAGAACUGACUCCGGGGUACUCUCCAGUUCCAUGCCUAUGAUGUAGUCAUCAGAGUUGCAAAGGAUUUCUUUAUAAGGUUCUAACAUUGGAUUACGGUGAUGGUUGUACAACUCCAAAUAUACUAAAACCAUUGAACUUUCAACAGGCGACUUAUGCAGGUAAUUGAGGAAAAAUGCCUUAUGUGGGACAACCUGCGAAGCUGUGACACUGCCAGAGUGAGACCAGGCAUCUCUCUGCCAGGAAUUUCAAUAGAAAUGACUCUUUGCCCCGAUAUGUGUUUGAUGCCCAUCUCCAUCAAUCUUAUUUGCUUUGAUAACUACUGUCUCCCACGUUUAUUUCACAUAAGGAAAUUGAAGUCAUAAUACAUGUUAAGUGACUAAGAGCAGGACUCAUAUAAUAAAUUAGAGGAGCAACAAGGAUUUUCAGUUCUUAUCUGUUUACACUUUUCCCUAACAAUUCCCACCUGCCGCCUUCCUACGUAGAUACCUGGUUAACACAGGAAGAAGAUUUUAACAGAUUCUGGUCUUUUGGUGCCAUGUACUUUCUUCAUGUUAAUGCUAUUAAUCAUCUGAUUACUGUCAAGUUGAUUUGAGUUCUGGUGAGAUCAGCAUCUCCUGAAAUGCAAUGUAUUUAGUGAGCACCUCCCGCGUGUAAUGCAGUGUAUUAGGUUCUAUUUGGGGAAACUGAAAGAAAAAGAUGCAGCCCCUGACAUCUAGUACCUUAUACUAGUUAGGAAGCCAAAUACACAGAAAAUGACAUUAAAAAGCUGUAUGUUAUACCAUAUUUCCUUUAUCUCUUCAGUGAGGUGAAACUGUUUUCCUUUUUAAUGGUCUUGCCUUUUUCAAGACAUUCCCAUUCCAACCAAAGUUUCUCUUAAUAUGACACCUCAAAAUAAGCUAUAUUUUGCUUUCAAAGUGGAACCAAACAAGAACCCAUUCCUCCCGUAUUUCCUUGGCAUGUCUUUGCAGUCUGUUUACCAGGUUCUUUGUGUUUCCCUUACAUGUCACAGUUCUUCAUGAGGAGGAAAGUAGGGUUUCAUUAGUAGACAUCAUGGGCCAUUUUGAGCCAGACCUGACUAUAUGGUUGGCCCAGUUCCCAUGGGUGAGUCUCAUGGUGGGGACUCAAACACACCCUUUCUCUGGCCACUUCAGUGUGAGGGCCUCCAGGUUUUUUUCUCUGCCUGUGGCUGCUUCCUCUUACUCCUCCCAGGUGGAUGGGGCGGGUCCAGAGUGAGGACAUUCCAUUAGACUGUGGUGCAGAGCACAGUUAGCUGGUCAAGCUGGGAUUCUACCUUUGGGGACGUUCUUCCUGUCAGGAGCUAUAGGGAGGUAAGAGGAGUCAGUAUUACUCCUGCCCAGCAGGAGACCUGGCCCACUGCCCCCACCCCAGCCCCCCUUGGCCCACUUUUGACUCUGACUUUGCUCUCUGGCGGGUGAAGAAAGAUAACUCUGUUGGCUGCUUUAGUCCGGGGUUCCUUUAGCCUAGGACGAUGUGGGGCAGCGGCCCAAUGGUGCUACACUUGGUAGGGGACACACCCUCCAAGCUUGUUGCUGUUUUUAUCUGACGAGUGUGUCUUUCCCUUUUAAAAAUAUAUUAUACAAGAAAAGAAAAAAGGAGAAUGAAAGAAAAAAGAAAGAAAAGAAAAGAAAAAAAGACCGAAAUAGAGAUGGGGGAGGGGGAAGAAGAGGCAGUAAGAAGAAUGAAAAAACUAAUUUUAUUCUUACAUGGACUCAACAUCCUACUAUGUCUCUCCCCGCUCCCAACUUGGCUUCUGUUGUGUCCUCUCUGAUUUAGUAGGUCAAGGGCAGGGACUGAGAUUCUGUAUUUCUAACAAGCUCCCAGGUGAAGCCAAUGCAGUUGGUCCUCAGAUCACACUCUGUGAGUAGCAAGGGUCUUGAGGAAUAAUGAAUCAAAUACAAAUCAAACCAUUCUUCAUAUAAUAAUAUCUGACACUCAAAUAGUACUUACUAUGUGCCUGACACUGUUUUAAGUGCUUUGCAUGUAUCAACUCAUUUAAUCCUCGUAAUUCUAUGAGAUGGGCACUACUAUUAGCCCCACUUCACAGUUGGGGAAACCAAGGUUAUUUAAUUUACCAAAUAUCACAUAGUAAGUACUAGAGCCAGGAUUCAAACUCAGCCUGGCUCCAGAGUCUGUGUGUUUAGCUCCAUUUUUAUUCCAGUAGCUUACAAACUUACCCUCUUCUGGACAUAAGUUUUCAAUCUUUACCCCUUAAAGGAUGGACCCCAGCUUGAAAACAAUGUUCCAGAGAUGUCAUUAACCAGCCGGUGAAGAUCACUGUGAUUUUGAUUCACCAUUGUAUUAGCCACACUGUCAACUUUGUGCUUUAUGUAAAUUUGAUAAUUAGAGGCAGUUCUCAAGGGUUAGCUGUAGGAUCCCAAGGCAGCUGUGGUUUUGGCUGUUUUUGUUUUUUGACAAGUAGAGGCAGCAAAGAGCAGCUGAGGUUAACGGCUCUAGCUGAUCACUGAGGCAGCAAGAGAAACAGCUCCAAGACAAACACACUGUUCAUUGUGUAGCCCGAGGGGAGAGAGCAAGUCUAGAAGGGCUGAGCCAGGCAGGGGUGAUGGGCGAUAUAGGAUUCUCUGUGGGUGAGAAGGUUGGUGGCUGGUCAGGGCAGAAAGCAGACUGGAGAGGCUGAGGCAAAGUGGAGUCUCAUAUAGAUGAGCCCACUCUGAAUCAAGGAAGCCAGAGAUUCACUCAUGCAUUCAUUCUAUAAAUAUUAAUCGAUGACCUAUUAUGUUCCAGGCACCAUGCUACAUGCUGUUGAUACGGUGAUGAAUAAGACAGAACUGGUCCCUGUCCUCAUUCUUCUUGGGAGACGGACAAGACCAAACAAAACCAAACCAUACCUAACAGACAAAUAAAUCAGUGCAGGAUGUCAUGAAUGUCCUGAAGGAAAACAAGGGUGAGAGAUGGUGAAACCAAGGGGCACCCUACUUUAGGUAGGGUGGUCAAGGAAAGCCUUCAGAUGAGACCUAAAAUCAGAGAAGUUAAGCGAUUGGAAAGGGCACUCUAGGCAAGAAACAGCUGUGCAAAAGCCCAAGGGUGGGAAAGAACUUGGUAUGGAAGAGAGAGCCUGGCAGGAUCUGGGGAAUCCACAGCUGUCCAUUGGGAAUCGUACAAGUUGACAUAAGGAUUAAAGCUGAGAAUAACUGAUAUGAAACAAAAGCAAUUGGCUUUGACAGGUUGGUCAAUUCUCAUCUGGAGUAUUAUGUUGAAUUCUUGACAAAUCACAGUGUCAAGGCCCAUGGGUGAUUUGGCUGCCAUAGCCUCUGAAAUUGGACAAUAUUUUUAGGCAAGUCCCAGUACUUUUCGUUUGACCUUUUUUUGGAUUUAAAUGCCCAUCUCUGAGUUGCGAGGGUCUCACCAAGGUCGUAAUAAUUACGAAGAAAUCUUCAUCUAGGUUAUUGUGAUGAAGGGCAAGGCCAAAAACAGCAUGGGAUGGGGCUAGUGUCCACACUCCAGGACGAACACGAGCCAUCAAAACAGAGAAGUCAAGGCACAUGGUCCAUACCUCCUCCUCUGGUCUCUCAAUCUGGCAGCCCCAUCAAAAAGGAGAGAAGGUUGGUUUGGGUGAACCAUUUGUUAGUUGUUCCUAGUGAUCAACCAUUCAACACAUUUUCUAAUGCUCCCCAAUGACCCUUCAGGUGAUUUUUUGCAGUUGUCUAGAGAGGAAAAUGUAGUUAACCAAUCUAUAGUUUCCAGAAUCUAUCCUUUUCUAAAGAACCCUUUUGAGAAUCAGAACACUUGUCUUAGCCAAGGCUCUUGUCAGUUGUUAUCUGGAUUAGUGUAUUGGUGUCUUACACCUGGUCUCCCUGAUUGUAGUCUCUCACACCUCCAAUCUAUCACCCACAGAGCUUUCAGAGAAAUUUAGCUAAAAUUCACCUUGUAUCUGAUCCCUAUCCUUGGUUUUAAGUGGUUCUUCAUUACUGUUGAUAAAACCUAAAGUCCUUUUUUUGGCAUUCAGUACCUUUCAUGAUCUGACCUUUGCCUAAAUUGCCACGCUCAUUUCCUGCCAUAUUCCCCUACUCUGAAUUAUAGCCAUACUACGUUAGUUGCUCUUUACUGAAAUUACAAUGCUCUCAUAUUACUUCUCUGCAUUUUCUUUUUUUUGGCCGUGUCAUGCAGCUUGUGGGAUUUUAGUUCCCUGACCAGGGAUUGAACUCAGGCCCUCGGCGCUGAGAGUGCAGAGUCCUAACCACUGGACCUCCAGGGAAUUGCCCUUCUCUGCAUUUUCAUGUGGGGUUCCUACUUGCUUCUUCCCUCAGCUAGUUCCUAUUUAUCCUUUAGAAUUCAGUUUAAACCUUAUUUCCUCCAGGAAGCCUUCCAUGAUUUCCCUAGUCAGGAUUAAGUGCUCUUAUUCAGUCCUGUAACACAUUUUUAUAUGCCUCUAUUACAUAUAAAAAUGUAGUUAGCAUCCAAAUCCUUUUCUACAAAAUCUUAAGCUUUCGAGGGCUAGGACGGUAUCCUUUAGCGCUUAACAGUGCCCUUGUACAUAAUAGCUUCAGAAAGGUUAAUGGAAUGGCUGCAUUUGCAUUUUCCAUUUUCUGGCUUUAGUUUUCCAUGAUUUCUUGCAGAUUACAAAGAGACUAUAUUAAUUUCUAUAUCAUGUAUAUUCUCCAUCUCUACCUCCUCUUUUGGGGAAUAAGGGGAAAAGAUUUGCUUAAGCUUAGGUCUAGAGACAUAUUUCUACCUCAUUUAUUAGACUUGUGAAAAUCUCUAAUGAGAAUUUCUUAUUACCCAUGGUUUAAUCUAAGUGCUCAUAUCUUGCUGUGAUUUAGGAUACCACAUUACAGAUUUUUAGACCUAGAAAGAACUUCAGAAUGAUCAGAUUCAAUAGUUUACUUUAUGGGACAAGGACAUGAAGGUUCAGAGAGAGGUUAAGCAAAUACUCUAAAACCACCCUACUAGUGGGUGGCAGUUAGCCCCAGGAGCUAGAUCUCCAUCCUCUCAGUCCUGGGCUCUUUCCCCUACAAAUGGCCACUCUUCAGAUCUUCAUCCUAUUUUGAUGUCAGAGACCCAAUAUGGAUUUGACCUUGGUUCCUUGAUUUGCCAUAUUGAGGCUUUAAUUUGGCCUCUCGAACUAAUAAUUUGAUUAUUAGCAAAUGAAUUAACAUUAAGCUUUUUCAUUUGGAGGCCUGCUGAACUGUGAAACUCUUCUUAAAAAUUCUGAGGGGACUUGAAAAAAAAAGGUGUAAAUAAGGGUUGAGCAAAUUGUCAAUCCUUCACUGGUCUUUCAGGAGCUCUUUCACAAAUUGGUUCACAGCAGAGUAGUUGAUAAGCACCAGCAUGUCCAAGACACCCACUUCGUCUUCCUUAAGGAUGCUCUAGAAGGGGAGUGGGAAAGUUACAAUGUACAUAGUAUCUUCCCUAGAAGCAAGUAUGUUUCUUUACUAGUAGAACUAGAAAAUUGUAUGUUCAGUUUGCUAAUUUUUUACUUUAAAAUGUUUGUUUGACUAUUAGAUUUGGUUAAUAACACUGAAGAUUGAUGUUAUAAAGAUUAGCACAUCUUUCAUUUUACUGUAGAUUAUUUCAAACAUACAGAAAACUAUAGAGAAUGAUAUAACAGAACGUCAUGUAUCAACCAUCCAACUCAGUCGUAUAAUAAAAUUUUGCCAUAUUUGCUCCAGAUCUCUUUCUUCCUCCCCGUCUCUUCCCUCCCUCCCUUUCUUCCUUUCCUUCUUUUCUCUCUCUUCCUUCUUUCCAAAAUAAAAUCUUACACAUGUAGUUAAAGCCCCUGUAACUAAUCUGUCCCAUUCCUCUCCUAACAUCUGUAGAGGUAACACCUAUCCUGAAUCUCCAGUUUUAAUUUUUGUGUGUUUUUUUAAUUUUUAUAUACGCAUCCAUAAACAAUAAAUAGUGUUGAUUUGCCUGUUUUCCAUCUUUAUUAAAUAAUAUAUUCUAUACUUUCUUCUCAAGUUCUCACUCCACAUGGAUUAAUAUACAUCUUCUAUUCAUUUAAACUGCUUUAUGGUAUUACAUUGUAUAAAAAGACCACAUUUUAUCUUUGAAUUGUUUCUGUUAUCUUCCUCUUACAAAUCAUGCAGGAAUAAACAUUCUUGUACAUAUCUCCUUGUGAGAGUUAUAUACCUAGGUGAGGCAUCACUGGGUUGUAUCAUAACUAUUUUAAAAAGAAUUUUCAUGUUGAUAGCAAAACUGAUUAGUUACUUAAAAGGAAAAAAUGAAGUC